rnacentral:rRNA from 1 species
UACGUAGGGUGCGAGCGUUGUCCGGAAUUAUUGGGCGUAAAGAGCUCGUAGGCGGUGUGUCGCGUCGGCCGUGAAAACUUGGGGCUUAACUCUGAGCUUGCGGUCGAUACGGGCAUCACUGGAGUUCGGCAGGGGAGACUGGAAUUCCUGGUGUAGCGGUGAAAUGCGCAGAUAUCAGGAGGAACACCGGUGGCGAAGGCGGGUCUCUGGGCCGAUACUGACGCUGAGGAGCGAAAGCGUGGGGAGCGAACAGG